UAUAUAUAUAUAUAUAUAUAUAUAUAAGCACUAAAGUUCCAACAACACCCGAUACCUCAAAGUGUCGGAUCCACAACAUGGAUACAAGGUCAAAUACAAAAAAUUAUACAAAGCACUAAAAUGACCAACGACACGAACAACCAGAUUGUCAAAUUUUAGGAACGACCCGUCCCUUCUUCAGAACAAACGAAACGAAUUACGUAAUGUGACCAAUAUCAACAGAGAAUAAUAACAAAAACUACAUAUAAAUACAUCUAGCACUACAACUACACUAAUCUACAAACGUAUUUUCAAUGCAGACUACAUGUUUUUGCUUUUUAAGCUUGCCAAUCAAUGUUAAAAGUGGAGCGAAUUAGGACAUGCCUUAUUCGUCCAAAGAGCUGAUCCAAAAUGUUUUGGAAUGAAGGAAAAAACGAAUAAAGGGAAAGGCUUUUUACGUUAAGCAUAUUAUGACGUCUUAAACGAUAAGUUAAAUUUAGCGAACAUUUUAAGGUAGAGACCGAUAGCAACCACGUGAUCAGUAAAAAUCGUGUAUUUUCACGUGAAAUUAUUUUUCGGAAUUCCGUACAUCGCCAUAGAGUAGUUGAAAAACAAAAAGGGGUUCCGAAAGUACAAGUUGUUGCUGUGACUGAAUCGAUGAUUGAGAGGGUCGUCUCGACGAAAGAUAUAGAAAUUUGGCCAUAGUUUAAAUUAGGAAUACGUCAAUGUAAUAAUAGUGGACUAAAUGUUUCGUCCGUGCAGAAUAGCACUUUUUACCUCACGAAAUUCACCACUAUGCAUAGCUGCGCUACGUAAACAAAGUUGUUGAUGUAGCGUGAUCGUGAUGUCCGAGUGCUGCGAGUUUCAAUACUGUUUAUGUAGUCAUUGAGAGUUUAAACAAAGUUUCUUCUGAGAAGAGGAAUUCGAUGGAUGCAUUCAACGUGGACAACGAAAUCAUAAUUUCGUUUGCAUCAUCCUAAGGACCAGUGCAAGUUGAAAUGGGCUUCCAGCCAACAACUUCAACAGCAAUUUGCCAUGAAAAUCAGCAAGAAAGGUACUUCAUUUACAUUGAUGAUGUCAUAUCCCCUGGACCCCACAACUUUACAGGUUACAGAGAAAAUUCAAGAACUGCAAAAUGUGGGACUUGGAUAGAAUCAAUAAUGUAUUUGUGAGCCGAGAGCAAUGGAUAUAUUGUGCAACAUACUAAAGUGUGAAUUUAAUGGAAAACAAGUACAUGUACUCAUGUAUUACAUGUCUUUUUUAAAGACAAUAAUAUUGUAUAAAUAUAUAGGAAGUGUCGUUGUUGAUUAUUCUAAGUUUUUGAUAUAUCAAAAUCAGUAAACAUUUCUAAAUGAAAAUAAAAUACCAAUUUUAUAACUUUAAUCAAUGUGUUUGAAUUUCUCAUUUUCUAACCCCCCCACCCCACCCCCGUUACACACACUCAGUGCAUAUAUACUGUGAAUGCAAUAUGCAUGCAUUCUAAGUUAUCCAAGCGAGUUUUUGUUUCAGUGUGAGACUACAAGUAGGACUCAUAAACUUAUGAAGAGACAUAUAUAUUUGUGAGAGCAAGAUAGCUGAUAUGAGCCUUGAGAUCAAUGGGUCGAGCCGCGGUGGUGGUCUAGAGGUUAGAGCGUUCGCCCCGCAUGCGGAAGGCCAGGGUUCGAAUCCCGGCCGCGACAGACCUGAGUUGUUGAAACAGGUAGUGACAGUUCCAUUGCCAAACGCUCAGCAUCAGGUGUGAAUGUCACUGGUCCUCAGAGAUGACCUUCAAAACGGAUGCCCAGUGUCACAGUAGAUGUGGCACGCUAAAGAACCCUCACUGCUCAAUGGCCGUAAGCGCCGAGCAAAGGCCUAAAUUUAAAGCCGUUCACCGGUCUUGGUAACGUCUCCAUAUGAGUAAAACAUUCUCGAGAGAGACGUUAAACAAGAUACAAUCAAUCAAUCCAUGGGUCGAUUGGGUGGAAAUCUUUCCAUUGAUAUUAAAUAUAAAGUUGUUAUUUAAACAUAUUUGGUGCACUAUGCUGUAUAAUCAUAUCAAUUUCUUAUAAUAGGUAAUCGUGUCUGGUUAUUAUAAAAAAAAAUGUAUGAAAAAUAACUAAAUAUUAAUGCAAUCAUUGUGAGUGCAAAAAGGUCAAUCGCAAGAGCACAUACAUAAAUGCAUUGGCGGAUAUAAGG